UAAAACGUAGGUCCCGAGCGUUAUCCGGAUUUACUGGGCGUAAAGCGCGUUCAGGCGGUGGGCUAAGUCAGGCAUGAAAUCUCACGGCUCAACCGAGAGAGGCUGUCUGAGACUGGCACACUUGAGGGCAGUCGAGGGUGGUGGAAUUCCGGGUGUAGUGGUGAAAUGCGUAGAGAUCCGGAGGAACACCAGUGGCGAAAGCGGCCACCUGGGCUGUACCUGACGCUGACACGCGAAAGCUAGGGGAGCGAACGGGAUUAGAAACCCCGGUAGUCCUAGCCGUAAACGAUGUUGACCAGGUGUCGGCGGUCUAAACCCCGUCGGUGCCGGCGCUAACGCACGAAGUCAACCGCCUGGGGACUACGGCCGCAAGGUUA
rnacentral:rRNA from 1 species